GUCAAAACGGAGGAAGGUGGGGACGACGUCAAGUCAUCAUGGCCCUUACGCCUGGGGCUACACACGUGCUACAAUGGCUGGUACAGAGAGAAGCAGAGCCGCGAGGCGAAGCAGACCUCAGAAAGCCAGCCCCAGUUCGGAUUGCAGGCUGCAACUCGCCUGCAUGAAGUUGGAAUCGCUAGUAAUCGCGGAUCAGCUACGCCGCGGUGAAUAUGUUCCUGAGCCUUGUACACACCGCCCGUCAAGCCACGAAAGCUGAGAGCGCCCGAAGUCGCUAGUCCAACCGAAAGGAGGGCGGCGCCGAAGGCGAGCUCGGUGAUUGGGACUAAGUCGUAACAAGGUAGCCGUAGGGGAACCUGCGGCUGGAUCACCUCCUU
rnacentral:rRNA from 1 species